rnacentral:rRNA from 1 species
GAUGAACGCUGGCGGCGUGCUUAACACAUGCAAGUCGAACGGAAAGGCCCAAGCUUGCUUGGGUACUCGAGUGGCGAACGGGUGAGUAACACGUGGGUGAUCUGCCCUGCACUUCGGGAUAAGCCUGGGAAACUGGGUCUAAUACCGGAUAGGACGAUGGUUUGGAUGCCAUUGUGGAAAGUUUUUUCGGUGUGGGAUGAGCUCGCGGCCUAUCAGCUUGUUGGUGGGGUAAUGGCCUACCAAGGCGUCGACGGGUAGCCGGCCUGAGAGGGUGUACGGCCACAUUGGGACUGAGAUACGGCCCAGACUCCUACGGGAGGCAGCAGUGGGGAAUAUUGCACAAUGGGUGCAAGCCUGAUGCAGCGACGCCGCGUGGGGGAUGACGGCCUUCGGGUUGUAAACUCCUUUCGCUAGGGACGAAGCGUUUUUGUGACGGUACCUGGAGAAGAAGCACCGGCUAACUACGUG